rnacentral:ncRNA from 2 species
AAAGAAGAUAUAGCGGCUGAGUCUCAUGUAAAUGAGAUGACGAGGUGGAGGUUCCUCUUUGCGAAAAGAUUGUUAACCCGGUACCCGGGGAAAAUCGAGUGAUCAGCGGAUGCCUCCGAAAUCUGGCACGGAUUUCAAUCUUUCUCUAAUAAGCUAUCCCAAAACCGGAAGGUGACUUUCGGCACAAAAUCCAGCGUAGUGAACUUU